UACGAAGGGGGGCUAGCGUUGCUCGGAAUUACUGGGCGUAAAGGGCGCGUAGGCGGAUAGUUUAGUCAGAGGUGAAAGCCCAGGGCUCAACCUUGGAAUUGCCUUUGAUACUGGCUAUCUUGAGUUCGGGAGAGGUGAGUGGAAUGCCGAGUGUAGAGGUGAAAUUCGUAGAUAUUCGGCGGAACACCAGUGGCGAAGGCGACUCACUGGCCCGAUACUGACGCUGAGGCGCGAAAGCGUGGGGGAGCAAACAGG
rnacentral:rRNA from 1 species